UACGAAGGGGGCUAGCGUUGCUCGGAAUCACUGGGCGUAAAGGGUGCGUAGGCGGGUCUUUAAGUCAGGGGUGAAAUCCUGGAGCUCAACUCCAGAACUGCCUUUGAUACUGAAGAUCUUGAGUUCGGGAGAGGUGAGUGGAACUGCGAGUGUAGAGGUGAAAUUCGUAGAUAUUCGCAAGAACACCAGUGGCGAAGGCGGCUCACUGGCCCGGAUACUGAC
rnacentral:rRNA from 1 species